rnacentral:rRNA from 1 species
GCUAACAUAGAAGCCACGAUAGCCUACUUUGAAGAGAAAGCAAAAGCAGAUGAUGAUUUCUUCUAUAGGAUAAGAUUGGACAAUGAGGACCGUGUUAGAAAUAUGUAUUGGGUGGAUGGUGCUGCAAGAAGGGCGUACAAACAUUUCCGUGAUUGCAUAUCAUUUGACGCGACACAUCUCACUAAUAUGUACAAGAUGCCCUGCGCUCCAUUCAUAGGAAUAAAUAACCAUAAUCAGUCAUUGCAGUUCGGUUGCGGACUCGUUCGGAACGAAGAUACAGAUGGUUACACUUGGAUGUUCAAAAUUUUCUUGGAGUGCAUGGAUGGACUUGCUCCGAUGAACAUAUAA